rnacentral:tRNA from 1 species
GGGCCGUUAGCUCAGUUGGUAGAGCAGUUGGCUUUUAACCAAUUGGUCCUGGGUUCGAGUCCCAGUCUGCGUACCA